rnacentral:lncRNA from 1 species
CCCCUACACGUGACGCCAUCUGGACACCCACACUGGCUGGGUGGCACCCACCCACCGCCGUCCUGGGAAGCCAUCACCGCUCAUCUGUGCCCGCGGCUACAGAGGACAGCAAGGGUUUUCUUCAGAGUCUAUUUUUUCAGCAACAAGGACCCCAGUCUUCCUGCUGCUGCCAGGAAGAGCAGGGAGAGCGCCGCGUGCGAGAUGAGCCCCAACACUGCCCGCCUUACCGCCGCUGCCCCGCCCAUCACCAUCACCACUAACCUUGCCCUGCGGGCACCGGGAGGCCUGAGCCGGUUUGCCCAGGCCCCUGGGUGCCCCUGCCCACCUACACCUUGAGGGGCUGUCCUGUGUUAGGCAGUGGCCAUGGUCCAGUGUCCUGUUGUGUUGUUCUCACACACGCCACCUAGCCACCCAUGCGCUGCUUGACCACAGCAACCCCUCUUCAGUGCGGCAGACAUCACUCCUCGCAUCGUGGACUGAGGCUGCAGCAUUGGAGCAAACAGCAUUAUAUCACUCUUCCUUUCUCUUUUUUCCUUUUUUUUUUUUUUUUUUUGUUGUUGUUGUUUGUUGUUCAUUUAAACAUGUAUUUAGAACUGCACUUUGUCAGAACCUUCCCUUCCCUCCUUACUCCCCCGUUAACUGCGGUUUUUACGGAUCUCUAGAGCAGUUCAAACCCUAAGUGCUCGAGCGCUCACACAUCCCCUCUGGUGCUUGGUUGAACAAGGGAAUCACGAGACAAUGAAAAUGCAGAGACUGGACUUGGGGGUCGUUCUGUGCCUUCCAGCAUCUUGUACAGCAAACCCUGACUUGUCUUUUUACCCCCAAAAUAUCGUCUUCAGUAGCGACUGAAUCUGCCACUGUCAAAAUACGUUACUUGCAUUUAUUCCAAAUAAUCUCGUUUACUCUUAACUGUUUAUGCAAAUUGUAUAAGGUUUCUUAUGCCCAAGCUUGAAAAAUGAUUUCCCAGUAGACAAGAGGCCCCCACCCAUCCUCCAAUUGUGUUUAUUUACCUGAGAAGAUCAUACAAAAGCCCUCCCCUCCAGUCCUAGCAGGGCAGCUGUGAGCCGAGGGGAGGGGGAGGCUUGUGCAGGUACAAACGACCUCAAGGACUGCGGCCUGCAACUGGAGACUGCUAAGCCCUGAUGUCUGGUGCCGAGGUCGGUCGUCUGCAGGGUUUUGCCCUUGGUUUACUGAGGGGGGCUGGGCUGCUGCUGGUCCCCCCUUCUGACGUGCAAUGCAAAAGGGACAUCAUGUAUACGCAGCGUUUAUUUGGAGUUUUUCCUUUGGCUUUUUUUCCUCUCUUUCAGUUAUGAAACUUGUAUGCAUGGAUUUCACAUCUCCAUAGCUAGACCCGCCAUGGGCAUUAUGACCGUGUCUCCUAAAGGGUCGGUUUUGUUACGCAACACGAAGAAUGCUGUCUCAGCCUUGUUUUUCUAGAGUUGUGUUUUUCAGUCAUUUCUUCAAGGAAAACUAAAUGAUUUAGUUGGAGCAAAGCUUUAAGUGUGUUGGUGUGCUUCUGUGUGGCUGCCCUGUUGCCUAGGAGAUCCCAGUGAUUUGGUCCCCUUUGAGCCUUUGGCUCCAGGGGCGCUCACUCCUCUCAGCAGAGCCUCUCCUUGCCACAGCCCUGGUCACCCUCAGUUCCCUGGUCUCCAUGGUCCAGCACUGGCUCCAAUAUGGGAAGGGAGUGCUGUCUAUGUGUGCCCCAGGGGCUCUUCCCCACUUACCAGAAUGACUUAGAUCUGGGAAGGGCGUGUCAUCUCAUCCAUUGUUCCUCCUGGAUCCUUCCUCCCCCUGCCUCUGGUUGGAUCACAGUUUGGCUCCCGUGGACUAGUAACUUGUCCGGGACCUCUAGGACAUAGCGUCGAGGUCAUCCAGCCACUUCUGCCUGAUGCCUGGGCCCCAGUCCUGGGUGAAGUUGGCAAAGCACUGGGUAUCUGGUGCAGCUGCCGUGGAUGGUGGCCCUGCUCCCUGCAGGGUCUGAGGUAGACUUGAGGGCAGCCCGGCACUGCAUGCCUGUCUCCUUCUGAGGAAGGCUGCAGAUUUCAGAGAAAGGGAAGAGAGGUUUCCACCAUGUUGGCUGUUGACCCUCCCUGUGUGUUAAACCCUUGACCGGUUCACUCGUUUCUAUCCUAGAAGAUUUUUAACAAAGGGAAAAACCAACAGCAAUAAAGUCAUUGGUGAGCAGCUAACUGGUACACACCCUGCUUUUCACACACAACAAGGCAGUGUAAAGACAACUCACAUGUAAAUAACUUUUCUCCAUUUCACACCGUUGUAGCAUAACGUGUAUAUGGUGACUCCUUUUCCAGAAACCUUCUUACCUGCUGGUUGUCUUGUUUCCUGGGUUGUUUUUAACUGAAGAAAAAAAAAAAUGCUCAUUUGCCAGAGGGGACAAAAGCAUCUUGUGGCAUUUCCCAUGUGGUGUCCUCCAUGGCACCCCCUCUCCCAGUUCCUACGCAGGUUAUCCCCUGUGGUUUCUCCCCACAUGCCUACCCCAGGGCUGAUGGGGAGGGGCUCUUGCUUUAAGUCAGAAGUCUCAAAUGACACGCUCAUCAACGAAAGAAAAAAAAAAAACCACCCCACCUCAACUUUCAUAACUGCCCAAACCCCUGCGCCCUCCAGUCCUACGCUGCUGCUAACGACAAUACGACGGCUUACUCUGCUACUCGAGAACUAUUUUUAUGUAAUUAAUGUAUGCUUUCUUGUUUAUAAAUGCCUGAUUUAAAAAAAAAGGAAACAAAGAAAAAGCUUGCCAUAUUUAUCUAU